rnacentral:tRNA from 1 species
GCGGGUGUAGUUCAAUGGCAGAACGGCAGCUUCCCAAGCUGCAUACGACGGUUCGAUCCCGUUCACCCGCUCCA